AGCAGCUGUGGACCACCGGCAGGUUGUCGGGCUCAUAACCCGGAGAUACCCCGUUCGACUCGGGGCGCUGCUACCA
rnacentral:tRNA from 1 species